rnacentral:rRNA from 1 species
CAGGUCACUCCUACGGGAGGCAGCAGUGGGGAAUUUUGGACAAUGGGGGCAACCCUGAUCCAGCCAUGCCGCGUGAGUGAAGAAGGCCUUCGGGUUGUAAAGCUCUUUCAGACGGAAAGAAACGGUCACGGCUAAUACCCGUGGCUAAUGACGGUACCGUAAGAAGAAGCACCGGCUAACUACGUGCCAGCAGCCGCGGUAAUACGUAGGGUGCGAGCGUUAAUCGGAAUUACUGGGCGUAAAGCGUGCGCAGGCGGCUUUGCAAGACAGGCGUGAAAUCCCCGGGCUUAACCUGGGAACUGCGCUUGUGACUACAAGGCUAGAGUGUAGCAGAGGGGGGUAGAAUUCCACGUGUAGCAGUGAAAUGCGUAGAGAUGUGGAGGAAUACCGAUGGCGAAGGCAGCCCCCUGGGCUAACACUGACGCUCAUGCACGAAAGCGUGGGGAGCAAACAGGAUUAGAUACCCUGGUAGUCCACGCCCUAAACGAUGACGACUAGUUGUUGGAGGAGUUAAAUCCUUUAGUAACGCAGCUAACGCGCGAAGUCGUCCGCCUGGGGAGUACGGUCGCAAGAUUAAAACUCAAAGGAAUUGACG